rnacentral:rRNA from 1 species
GGCGCACGGGUGCGUAACGCGUAUGCAACCUACCUUUCACAGGGGGAUAGCCCGAAGAGAUUUGGAUUAAUACCCCAUAAUAUUAUCGGAUGGCAUCAUUUGAUAAUUAAAACUGCGGUGGUGAAAGAUGGGCAUGCGUCCUAUUAGCUAGUUGGAGUGGUAACGGCACCCCAAGGCUACGAUAGGUAGGGGUCCUGAGAGGGAGAUCCCCCACACUGGUACUGAGACAGGGACCAGACUCCUACGGGAGGCAGCAGUGAGGAAUAUUGGUCAAUGGUCGGAAGACUGAACCAGCCAUGCCGCGUGCAGGAAGAAUGCCUUAUGGGUUGUAAACUGCUUUUAUAUGGGAAGAAUAAGGCGUACGUGUACGUUGAUGACGGUACCAUAUGAAUAAGCAUCGGCUAACUCCGUGCCAGCAGCCGCGGUAAUACGGAGGAUGCGAGCGUUAUUCGGAAUCAUUGGGUUUAAAGGGUCUGUAGGCGGGCUAUUAAGUCAGGGGUGAAAGGUUUCAGCUUAACUGAGAAAUUGCCUUUGAUACUGGUAGUCUUGAAUAUCUGUGAAGUUCUUGGAAUGUGUAGUGUAGCGGUGAAAUGCUUAGAUAUUACACAGAACACCGAUUGCGAAGGCAGGGGACUAACAGACAAUUGACGCUGAGAGACGAAAGCGUGGGGAGCGAACAGGAUUAGAUACCCUGGUAGUCCACGCUGUAAACGAUGGAUACUAGCUGUUUGGCGCAAGCUGAGUGGCUAAGCGAAAGUGAUAAGUAU